AUAAACUCAUCAUAAAUACCAGGAUUACACAUUCAUUUGUUCUCCAAUUGAGGGUUCAGUUUUAUCGUUACAAAUUACUUAUGUAAUAUGUUUGUUGAAAAGCUUGACGCUUUAAUGUAAUUUCCUUUCCAGACCUUUUCUUAACCGUAUUUGGCACAACUUUUUGAAGUUUUGGGUGCUCAAUGCUCUUCAACCUUGUCCUUGUUUGGCUUUAUAACUAUUUUGAUCUGAGCGUCACUGAUUAGUCUUAUGUAGACGAAACGAGCGUCUAGCGUAUUAAAUACUUGCAACAAAAGUGAGAGGUGUAAUGGUGCAACCUACUGUUACCCAUUAUGAAAGAGGUUCGGUAUCUAAUAUGAACAUGGCAGAAAAUUGACACGAUUAGAACAAACUGUUGCUGAGCUCCAAACGAAAAUGAAUUCCUUAAAUGAUUAUGGUAAGUACAGAAAAGGUAAAGAGCAACAGGCAAAAUUAAAUCGAUUAUAAGUAUCGUUAAACUUAUAUUAUAAUGAAAUUUAAUUGUAUUAAAAUGUAUUUUAUUAUCAAACAUUUAAAAGAAAACGUCCCUUUUCUGCGAUUCUUUCUUUAUUAUAUUGUACACGUUGAACCAAAUGUUUAAACUUUGUAAUUUAAAUGUAAAAAGGUAAAAAAAAAAAAAUAGUUAAAUUUUUUUCUUGGUAAGUAAGCUUAAGAAUACUACUUAUUUGAUUACGCCGUUUUAGGAUCUCAUGCAUCUUGGGCAAUCUUUUAAAAAAUGUACAUUAAACAACGUGAUUGGUUAAAAAUGUUAUAAACAAUGGAAAUUCAACCAAUGACGUUAUUUUGAUUUUUUCAGUUUGUUUUACUGUGACAAGAAUCAGCGGAUGGAUACCACCUGGUUCUAUUAUCCCGUUCAGGCACAUCAAAACGAGUUAUGGCGUCACAAAUCGAAUCAAUUUGACGUUUUAAAGCAGAACAACCUGGUCCUUAUGUUUUGGGAGUUACAGUUUUCACACAAGAGGAUGGUUAUUAUCAAAUAUGCAAAAACGACGUAAUGAUAAGCGAGGUGUUCGUAGAGUUUUAUGAAAAAUCUGGAACUAGUUUUAUUGUGAUUGAGCUUGCUGUUGGAAGCAUCAUCAGUGUAAAAACUGCGAGAUUUAAAUUGUUUGUCAGACCAUUUUCUACUUUGACUGUAGCAAAAAUAAAGUAACAAUGUUUACGUUGUUGAUGAUACU
rnacentral:lncRNA from 1 species